rnacentral:rRNA from 1 species
CCUACGGGUGGCAGCAGUGAGGAAUAUUGGGCAAUGGACGGAAGCCUGAACCAGCCACGCCGCGUGCAGGAAGACGGCUCUAUGAGUGGUAAAUUGUUUUUGUACAAGGGUAAACCUGAAUACGUGUAUUCAGCUGAAAGUACUGUACGAAUAAGGAUCGGCUAACUCCGUUCCAGCAGCCGCGGUAAUACGGAGGAUCCAAGCGUUAUCCGGAUUUAUUGGGUUUAAAGGGUGCGUAGGCGGAUUGAUAAGUUAGAGGUGAAAUGUCCGAGCUUAACUCGGGAACUGCCUCUGAUACUGUUGAUCUAGAGAGUAGAUGCGGUAGGCGGAAUGUAUGGUGUAGCGGUGAAAUGCUUAGAGAUCAUACAGAACACCGAUUGCGAAGGCAGCUUACCAAUCUAUAUCUGACGUUGAGGCACGAAAGCGUGGGGAGCAAACAGGAUUAGAUACCCCGGUAGUC